rnacentral:tRNA from 1 species
GGGCGUAGCUCAAUGGUAGAGCGCUUGCUUCCCAAGCAAGAUACGCGGGUUCGAUUCCCGUCGCCC